rnacentral:rRNA from 1 species
AUUGAACGCUGGCGGCAGGCCUAACACAUGCAAGUCGAACGAGUGGCGGACGGGUGAGUAAUGUCUGGGAAACUGCCUGAUGGAGGGGGAUAACUACUGGAAACGGUAGCUAAUACCGCAUACCAUCGGAUGUGCCCAGAUGGGAUUAGCUUGUUGGUGGGGUAACGGCGCACCAAGGCGACGAGCCCGAGCUGGUCUGAGAGGAUGACCAGCCAAACUGGAACUGAGACACGGUCCAGACGCCUACGGGAGGCAGCAGUGGGGAAUAUUGUACAAUGGGGGCAAGCCUGAUGCAGCCAUGCCGCGUGUAUGAAGAAGGCCUUCGGGUUGUAAAGUACUUUCAGCGGGGAGGCGUUACCCGCAGAAGAAGCACCGGCUAACUCCGUGCCAGCCGCCGCGGUAAUUC